rnacentral:rRNA from 1 species
ACGCCUACAAGCGGUCGGAGCACGUAAGUGUGACGGCGUGCCUUUUGCAUAAUGAGCCUACGAGUUAAUGUUGCUGGCAAGGUUAAGCACUUCAGGUGCGGAGCCGUAGCGAAAGCGAGUCUGAAUAGGGCGCCAGAGUUUGAUGUAUUAGACCCGAAACCCGGCGAUCUAGGCAUGACCAGGAUGAAGGUGCGGUAACACGCACUGGAGGUCCGAACCGAUUAACGUUGAAAAGUUACCGGAUGAGUUGUGUUUAGGGGUGAAAGGCCAAUCAAGCCGGGAAAUAGCUGGUUCUCCGCGAAAACUAUUGAGGUAGUGCCUCGAGCGAAUACCGUAGGGGGUAGAGCACUGGAUGG